rnacentral:lncRNA from 10 species
CUCAGGGCAGAAGAGGAGACCGAGGUUUCUGUGCAAUUAUUUAUUUGGAAAUGGAGCCCAUUCCCUUCCUGGAGCAGGAGCUCAGGAAGUGGAGGGAAGGACGUGAAACAGGAAAAGAGGAAAAGCCCAUUUGAGGAUUUAUGACUGGAUUUGCUGCCAAAGUUGCAACUACAGUUUUUUAGGAUAACUGUAAGGCUGCACUGGGGAGAUGAAAGAGGAAGCUAUUUCUCCAUCUCCUUCCGUCCUCUAUGGGUGAAGGAUGGCUCCUUCUCUCUUCUGAUCCUGAGUGCUGGAAAGCUCAAGAAAUUCUUCUGAGAAUUGAGUGAGUUCAGCCAGCCUGGAUUCCCUGGAAUUCUGGUGAAGCCUGACUGGGGUACAACCAUCUAGUUGCAGGAAAACAAGCUCCGGGCUCCCACUGAUCCUACGUGAUGACAUACCAUCCACUGACAAGGUGCCAAAGCCACAAGAUAAUUUAAGACUCAUAUGAGGAGGAAGGUAGGGGGCAUCCAGAGGUGAAAAUACCCCCAG